rnacentral:lncRNA from 1 species
GCAGCACAAACCUCAUGGCAUCAUAAAUCCCAAAUGUAUUCGCUUCCAGUUCUGGAGGUGAGGAGUAUAAAAUCAGCUUCAUGGGGUUAAAGGCGGGGUACCUGAUGGCAGGGGUGGUUCCUCCUGGAGGCCGCAGGGGAGAAUCCAUUCCUCGCCCUUUCCAGCUUCUAGAGGUACCUGCAUCCCUCAGCUCCUGGCCCCGCACCCCUCCAGCCUCUGCUUCCUCCUCUCUGACUCUGACUCUCCUGCCUCUCUCCUAGGAAGACCUACCUUUGUGAUCACAUUGGGCCCACCAGACAAUCCAGGCCAAUCUCUCCAUCUUCAGGUCCUUGGCUGAAUCCCACCUGCCAAGCCACUUUGACAAUGGGAGGCAGCAUAGCCAUAGGUUUGGGGGUUAGGACAGCUGGAUGUGGGGCAUCAUCCAGCUAAUCACAGCUGUGGAGCCCAGCCCUUCGAGAUCAAAACAACGUUCAGAGAACAAAGGCCUUCAUCCCUGUGACCGGACACCCACUGUGCAUGGCAGACGCCCAGGUCACCUUAAAGACCUCCAACAGCCUUGGAGUUGUGGGGAUGGGGCGUGUGGUGAGGGGACCACAGAGGCUGAAGACAGGGGCCAGGACCAGGCCAGCAACCACAGCAACAAGUGACUGGAUUCUAGAGUGACAGGACCACUCUGUCGGUGGCUGCAGGCCCAGGAUCCCUCUGCACUCCUCCGUUUCACAUACCCUGUGUCCAGUUGAUCAGAAAAUGCCGUCAGGUCUACUUACAGAUUUCUUUACAAUCCAGUCACCUGUGGCCGGGCGCGGUGGCUCACGCCUGUAAUCCCAGCUACUUGGGAGGCUUAGGCAGGAGAAUCGCUCGAACCUGGGAGGCAGAGAUUGCAGUGAACCGAGAUGGCACUAUUGUACUCCACCCUGGGCAACAAGAGCAAAACUCCAUUUCCAAACAAACAAACAAAAAAAAUCCAGUCACUUGUCAACCAUGUUCCCUGGCCUGGCCCAGGUCCCUGUCUUCAGUC